GAGUGAACGCUGGCGGUAGGCCUAACACAUGCAAGUCGAACGGCAGCACAGUAAGAGCUUGCUCUUACGGGUGGCGAGUGGCGGACGGGUGAGGAAUACAUCGGAAUCUACUUUUUCGUGGGGGAUAACGUAGGGAAACUUACGCUAAUACCGCAUACGACCUACGGGUGAAAGCAGGGGAUCUUCGGACCUUGCGCGAUUGAAUGAGCCGAUGUCGGAUUAGCUAGUUGGCGGGGUAAAGGCCCACCAAGGCGACGAUCCGCAGCUGGUCUGAGAGGAUGAUCAGCCACACUGGAACUGAGACACGGUCCAGACUCCUACGGGAGGCAGCAGUGGGGAAUAUGGGACAAUGGGCGCAAGCCUGAUCCAGCCAUACCGCGUGGGUGAAGAAGGCCUUCGGGUUGUAAAGCCCUUUUGUUGGGAAAGAAAAGCAGCAGGUUAAUACCCCGCUGUUCUGACGGUACCCAAAGAAUAAGCACCGGCUAACUUCGUG
rnacentral:rRNA from 1 species